rnacentral:lncRNA from 1 species
CGUACUCGUGCAGAAAAAAGGUCUUGUUUAGUUCACCUCCAAAUCCCAACUUUGGCACUAUGCAAAAAGAAGAUUCCCCAUUACAUCAAACUUGCGGUACAUGCAUGGAGUAUUAAAUAUAGACCAAAUUAAAAACUAUUUGUACAGUUUUGUUGUACUUUGCGAGAUGAAUCUUUUGAGCCUAAUUAGUCAAUGUUUGGAUAAUAAUUCACAAAUACAAAUGAAAC